rnacentral:rRNA from 1 species
GACGAACGCUGGCGGUGUGCCUCACACAUGCAAGUCGAACGGAGUAGCAAUACUCAGUGGCGGACGGGUGAGUAACACGUGGGAAUCUGCCUUAGGGUGGGGAUAACUGACCGAAAGGUUAGCUAAUACCGCAUAUGUCGCAAAGAUAAAAGGAGCAAUCCGCCAUAAGAUGAGCCCGCGUCCGAUUAGCUAGUUGGUAAGGUAAAGGCUUACCAAGGCUACGAUCGGUAGCUGGUCUGAGAGGAUGAUCAGCCACAAUGGAACUGAGACACGGUCCAUACUCCUACGGGAGGCAGCAGGUGGGGAAUUUUGUGGCAAUGGGCGAAAGCCUGACACAGCGACACCGCGUGAGCG